UAUUGAACGCAUAUUGCGGCCACGGGUCCGUCCUGUGGCCACGCCCGUCUGAGGGUCGGCGACGUUGUACCCAUCGCUGGAAGGCUCUGGUCCAGCGCCUUGAGCUUUCGUAGCCGAAAGGCUCCGUGGCUUGAAAUGGAGACCUGAAAGUGAAAAGAAAAGUCCUCCUCAUCGCGGCAGCAGCAGUCCUCAUGCGAGCAAAGGACAUGGCCCGGUUGAACUGUCUUUGCUAGCGAGCGAGCGUUGGUGGGGAGGAUCGAUCCUACUUCCGACCUCAGAUCGGACGAGAUUACCCGCUGAAUUUAAGCAUAUCAC
rnacentral:rRNA from 1 species